AGCCUCUCAGGGUCACACCUGGAGAGUUUCCAGUACUCUACCAGUCUCGACUUAAGAAGGGACAGUCAAGCAGAGGCAUAGCCAUUCCAUUCCUAGCUGGCCCAGUGGCUAGCGAAUGGAAGACAAUCUGCUACAGGU